UAGGAAUCACAUCUAGGAAUGAUCUAGGAAACUCAUUACCUAAACUGUCCAGAUGCUGGAAGUGUCCAGUUCCCACAACCUUUGUCCUGCUCAGGGAGGGCAGAAGGGCUUCAGAGGUCACAAAGUUACUCCACACUGACAAUGAUGUCACUGUCAAGAAACAAAGUCCCACCCACUGGAUGUAGGAACGCCCCCUGAUGACAUCGUAGGUCAACAGUGUGGGAUUGCUGUACUAAGAGAGCAAUGGCGUUGUAAAUCCACCGGAUGGCAGCAGCUGCCUUCUCCUUUACAGACGCUAUUGGAGGAAGAAUACAGUGACAGCAAAAAGAUGACCCUGAUAUCUGCCAGCGCACAACCUGAUGACAUCUCUGAGGGGUAAAGCGUGCAUUAUUGAAAAGGAAACCAUUCAGCAUGGACGGAUUUGAGUUUCUAUCUUGUUGAGAAUUUCCGAUAAUACAAUCCAUCUGCCUCCACAUUUGUAACCGAAUAAGUCUCCUUCGAUCAAAACACUAUAGACAUUUUUGUUGAAGUCUGAAACUGCCACAUAAAUUGACGGUAAUCACAUGCUUUCGUAUCCUGCUGUGCCUAUUCAUAUGUUCUGGCCCGUAAAAAUUGAAGGGUGUGAUGUUGAAAUAACAAUAGCUUCCAUAUUGAAACUUGGCUGAGCUCAUAGCUCUCCCAGGAACAGGUUAGUUGUAUUAAAUCACUAAUGCAACUUGGUACAAUUCUCAUUAUUGUGAAGCUUGUCAAAGUGAGAUGAAUUGUAUAUUGUAAGUUAGAAAAAAAACUGUGAAAAACAGUAAAAAAAAAAAUGGAACAGUGUGAAAAUAAUUGUAAAAAUCUAUCUAUUUUACUCUGGUUAUUUGUCAAUCUGGUGUGAGGCCAUUUAUAUGUCAUCAUAUCCUGUAUCAUGAGAUGUGAAAGAGAAGGAGGGAAGGGAGGUGAGGAGAGAGAAAAUAUCUGAAGAGAGAUCAAUUUGAAAUGUAAUGGAGUGAAACCUUGAGAUUGAUUUUAUUGCCAUUUUGUGGUGGUCAGUAAUUUUCCUGGCCGUUGAGUGAGAGCAAUUUUGUGUGUGUGUGUGAGUAACGCUCUUUUCCUUCUCGGUAAAAGCUGGUCUUGUCGCUACAGGUGAGAUAUGAGCCAAUCAACAUAGCUGCAGUGAACAAUCAGUGCAAAACACAAACAGGCAGCUUCCCGCUUGCUUAGAACUAAAUGCUGAAACAGUUGCGUUAAACUAAAUUGAAGUGCGUAUUAUUUCAUUGGCUUCUGCAAGUAU